ACUCAAAGGAAUAGACGGGGGCCCGCACAAGCAGUGGAGUAUGUGGUUUAAUUCGAAGCAACGCGAAGAACCUUACCGGGGCUUGACAUGGGGGUGACCGCUCUAGAGAUAGAGCUUUCUUCGGACACCCCACACAGGUGGUGCAUGGUUGUCGUCAGCUCGUGUCGUGAGAUGUUGGGUUAAGUCCCGCAACGAGCGCAACCCUUAUCGUUAGUUGCUACCAUUCAGUUGAGCACUCUAGCGAGACUGCCGGUGACAAAUCGGAGGAAGGUGGGGACGACGUCAAAUCAUCAUGCCCCUUAUGUCCCGGGCUACACACGUACUACAAUGGCAGAUACAACGGGAAGCGAAGCCGCGAGGCGGAGCAAAUCCCACAAAAACUGUCCCAGUUCGGAUUGUAGGCUGAAACCCGCCUGCAUGAAGUCGGAAUUGCUAGUAAUCGCGGAUCAGCAUGCCGCGGUGAAUACGUUCCCGGGCCUUGUACACACCGCCCGU
rnacentral:rRNA from 1 species